rnacentral:rRNA from 1 species
CCUACGGGGCGCAGCAGUGAGGAAUAUUGGUCAAUGGCCGAGAGGCUGAACCAGCCAAGUCGCGUGAGGGAAGAAUGUCCUAUGGAUUGUAAACCUCUUUUGUCAGGGAGCAAAGUCACCCACGUGUGGGUGUUGGAGAGUACCUGAAGAAAAAGCAUCGGCUAACUCCGUGCCAGCAGCCGCGGUAAUACGGAGGAUGCGAGCGUUAUCCGGAUUUAUUGGGUUUAAAGGGAGCGUAGACGGCUGUACAAGUCUGAAGUGAAAGCCCGUGGCUCAACCGCGGAACUGCUUUGGAAACUGUAAAG